GAUGAACGCUGGCGGCGUGCCUAAUACAUGCAAGUCGAGCGAAUGGAUUAAGAGCUUGCUCUUAUGAAGUUAGCGGCGGACGGGUGAGUAACACGUGGGUAACCUGCCCAUAAGACUGGGAUAACUCCGGGAAACCGGGGCUAAUACCGGAUAAUAUUUUGAACUGCAUGGUUCAAAAUUGAAGGGCGGCUUCGGCUGUCACUUAUGGAUGGACCCGCGUCGCCUUAGCUAGUUGGUGAGGUAACGGCUCACCAAGGCAACGAUGCGUAGCCGACCUGAACGGGUGAUCGGCCACACUGGGACUGGGACACGGCCCAGAAUCCUACGGGAGGCAGCGGUAGGGAAUCGUCCGCAAUGGACGAAAGUCUGUCGGAGCAACGCCGCGUGAGUGAUGAAGGCUUUCGGGUCGUAAAACUCUGUUGUUAGGGAAGAACAAGUGCUAGUUGAAUAAGCGGGCACCUUGACGGUACCUAACCAGAAAGCCACGGCUAACUACGUGCCAGCAGCCGCCGUAA
rnacentral:rRNA from 1 species